ACUGGACAGGGCUGUGAUGUUCUUGCAGACCCAGUGCUCUUCAUGGUGUCCAGUGUUUUCUGCAGCAAGUGAAAUUUUAAGGCUUAAAGAAGCAUAAGCCUGUACAGAAAGACACUUCACACUACUUUUGGCAUGACUUCAGUAUUUUGUGGCUGUUCCUGAGUGUGGUGUGAUGAGACUGGGAACACAGCUAUGCUCAUAGGAAGGAGGUUCAUUCAGUGAGCUGAGAGGCUGCUCCAACACUGGAAAUUAGAAUCUUCUGAAAAUGAACCCCAUUUAAAAGAGCUCUGGCAGACCUCUGAAGUCAUGUCAAGAUUUAGAAGCACAGCUGAAGGUCCCCAUAGUCCUCUGGGAGCAUGUGUUGAGCUUUGAGCACUCAGCCUUCUCCCUUUGCCUGUCCUUCCCUUUCAGAGUGGGAUGAACCUUUGACUUGCACCUCCAGGCCUGAACCCUGGAGCAGGUGC